ACUCCAGCUCAGCCUCCCUUCAUAUGCCUCAGCUUUGAUGAUGGACUGAUUGCGGUUACUGCUCUGUGAGUGGAUCAACGUGCAGCAAAGCUGGAUGCUCAAGAGCAGAGGAUCUAUCAACUGCAGACCAAGCAGAGGCAGAGGCAGGCAGAACUGGAGCAGAAAUGCAGCCGGAUCCAGCAGCUCAGCCAGGACCCCGAGGCCAGCCACCAGCUGCAGGAGGAGGCUCAGAAGCAGUUGGGAGAGAUGUAGGAAAAGGCUUGGAUAAAGGGCCACUCACAUGGAUGCUUUAAGAAGACUGACAGUGUGUCCCAUCAGUUCCAUACACCAGGAGCUUUUAUGGAACUCUGACACACUGGAGCAAUUCUGGAAGGUAGGUGUGAGAAGGGCCAGCAGCACAGGGCAGGCUGGGGACAAUAUG